CCGGCAUGCCCCGGGUCGCCCCGGCCGGGCGGCGUCGGCGCACUGCCCUCUCCGGAGACACCGGAGCGUUUCAGCGGCCGCUGGGAACUUGCUGACUCUUCACAUUGCGCGCACAGGCGGGAGCGGCGAGUGCGGCCGGACAAGGCGCCUCUGGCUGACAGGGAGCGAGGGAGGGAGGACCAGAGGAACAGACGGUGAACAGGCACCCCAUGCUGCGGGGCGCCGAACAGGGUAGCUACUUGUUUAUCUCGCCAGCUGCCAUUCACGGUCCGGCUCCGCCUCCCUGCGGGGUGCUGCCCCGCCGUGCGGCGGGCGGGGCAGGGCGGGGCCAGGCCAGGCCGGCCCCUGCGCUGUGGCGUUGCGGGUCCAUGUUGGAAGCGGGAGGUUUUGUAGGUUUCGCGCCGUCGGAUGCUGCUGAAUAAACCGAUCGCUUACAGAUCGGGGCUCAUGCUGUCUGUGCGCUCACAUACAAACCAGGCGUAUGGUUGCGUCUUUAGUAUCCGAUGCCGUAGCAAGGCUGUGUCCCUUCAGCCCCGAGCAGAGAUUUUUAGACAAACGCGGCGCUGCUUUGGGGUUCGGAUUUCAUCAAAGUAUUUUGAGAUCGCAGAAACAUUCAGGCCUUUUGAUGUUACGUCUCGGUCUCUCGAAGAUUGUUUUGUGAGGAGCGUCACUCUGCAAGCUUUCUUGCGUUAUGGAAGUGCCAAGCAGAGGUAACUAUAUGAAGAGUCACACAGAAUCACAGAAUCAGGCUGGAAAAGGCCUCUGAGGUUGAAUCCAGUCUAUGACAAAACACCACCAUGUCAACUACAGACCGUGGCAUUAAGUGCCAUGUCCAUUCUUUCCCUAAAUAUCUCCAGAGAUGGUGACACCACCAAAUCUCCAGGCAGUCCAUUCCAAUGUCUAAUGACUCUGUCUUUAAAGAAAUUCUUCAUAAUGUCCAACAUAAACCUCCCGUGGUGCAGCUUGAGAUAAUCACCUCCCAUCCUCUCACCUGUUGCUGGGAGAAGAGGCUGACCCGCACUCACAGCUUCCUUACAGGGAUUUGUAGGGAGUGUAAGGUCAACCUCACCCUGACCUUAUACAACCUGCAGGUUACAUCCCACUCUAGAAGCAAAGGACAAUCCCCACCUUGUGUGUUCAACCUUAGAUUACUCCUGCCAGCAGCAAGUGAAUGAAGCAGAAUUAAAUUAGAGGAGCGGAGAGUAAAAAUGGCAUCUCUCCAUACACAGAAACUAUCUCAGUUCAUCACCUGCUCUGCCAGCAUUACUUACCACAAUGGAAAGUUUUUCCACAUGCUGGAUGGGAGGGGUAGAGGAGCUGAUGAGAAGCUGUCAUUGCUGACAAAGCACAGGGAGGUGUCAACUGCACGAUAAGAUACGGUGCUAUAUAUGAUUACUAGUGCAUAGCUAAGUCAUGAGGUCAUAGCCAGAAGUUUGUUUCUCAAGGAAAGGCAGGAGUGUAACCAUUUUGAGAUGAUUAUUUCUUCCAGAAGGCAAUAGAUGAUUCAGAAAUUCCCUUGGGACAGGUAGCUAGCAACUGAAAUUCUCAGAAAUCUUCAUCACUCCUUUACCAAAGUAAUAUUUUCCAGAGAACUGCAAGUGCUUUGCUUUGCAGUUGCAGAUGUGGAUCUUUCUGAGCAAGGCCUGCUCAUGAGCUGGCAAUUUUCCUGAACAGGAGAAAGAACAUUGUUGAUCUUUCAGUGUCAACAUUAAAGACAUUUACUAAAAUUAGAGCUAACUAUUUAAAUUUUGCAAAGUGUUCACAUCUUUGGUCACCUAGUAAUCAAAACCAACACUGAGAAGAAAGGGGCAUAGACAUGAAAAAGAAAACUUAUCUGUAGAAGGUUAUUUUACCCAAAUUUAUUCUGGCAGUUUUAGCAUCAAUAGAAAUAUGGACUACCUUGCUGUUGGUAAUAAUAAACUCUUCAAGUAGUUCCCAUUGCUCUCUUUGACCAAGAAAAAUAUCCAUUAUUGCCCAUUUCCACCACUAAGGCAUUUGUUUUUACUCUUUCAAUUUUACAAUGUACUGACAAGACUGUCUUUUAUCAUAAUUCGUUUAAAGUCCACAGUGUUGGUGAGAGGGGGCUAAGAGCACCCUCAUUAUGGUAACCUGGCACUUGUAAGCCAAGGCAGUAUAAUUUCCCCUCCACCCUAUACUGUAAACAGCUCCCUAGUGUUGCAAGCAGCCAUUUUAUCCUUUCUUCUGUAAAUUAAUUGUGCUUUGCCAGUAAAUUUUUUGGCCCUCGCUGCUGCUGCUGGGAGGCUGUCUGAGAGAAACCUCUCUAACAGCUGGAAGCCUUUUAAAAAUGUUAAACCUGCUUUUCCUUGUGACCAGUACCACGUCCAUCUUUUCUUCCUGUGCAAAUACUGUCCUGAAGUAGCCUUUCCCGCUCUCCUGCAUGUACCCCUGCCAGAAGUAUUUAUAGACAGCAGUCUCAUCCCCACACAGCCUUGAUUUUGCUGGACUAAUAGAGCCAUGCUCUUCUCAUUCCCCUCGUGAGCCCUGCCAGUGAAGGCUGGACUGGUACAAAUCAGGUAGUGAAAAACACAAAAUGUGAUCUGUGUCCUGAUUCCUUCUCUCCUGACUCAGCCCUACUUCUACUUUCUGAAUCUGUAUGUUGGCCACACGAAAGCCACUAAAAGUGUAGAACCAAUUGAACAACUUCAAGCACAGGCCAGCUUGGAGGCCAGUAAGAAUAAGUCUGCUGUCUCAUUAGUGCAGAAGUUUUAUUAUGGUUGAAAGAUGGAAAUGGGCACAUUUGUUUCUUCUUGAGAUUGGAGUAUACGUGGAAAGGUGGAAAAAUCUGUUUGUGUGGGCACAGGCUGUCAGACCUGCUGGAAAACACCUGCCUGGCAUCUCCUCUCCAGGUGGUUCCCAGAGGAGAAGCAGCAGCAAGCAGCCAUUUACAGAGCAGUGACAGCAAAUUGUUUGAGAGAAAGAGACAGAAAAAUACUGUGACAUUUCCAUUGCUCUUCCAAGUUAAUGGAACAGUUGCGAUACCAGUAACACAUAUUUAAUAGCAUUCACAUUUUCUUUUAAAGUGUUUUACCAAUUGUAUUAUUCAUUUCUGGUCAGCAGAGAAAUGACUGUAACAUUUUUAAUAUGCAGUGCCAUAUAAUUUGUUAAUUAUGCUGAUGCAGAAAGUUUGAGUAGCCCUAGCAAAGAAAACAGAAAAUUAUGGGGUUGCAGAUUGCAAUCAGUACUUUUUUCAGCCUGCCAGCCUAAAUGAAGAUGCCACGUUGUCACUCAUUAGAAUCACCAUUUCUGCCAAAUCUCAAGUCACUGUGGUUAAAUUUCACUGGAGGUGAAAGAUAUACCAAGCAAGACUGAAAGCUGAGAAAUUGAGUAUCCUCACCAGCUCUCUAAAUAAUUCUCCAACACAGACCCAGUCUGAUACCAUGACAUCCAAACCAACCAUCCAUGACGGAAGUUUUUCUAUUGAUGGGUAAAUCUGUGGUAAAACAAGCUCCUCCAGUAACCCUGAGACGUCUGAGGAACUUCAGGAAUUUGGAUUCUACACAUAAUAACCUUGUGUAACAGAGAGAGUUUGAUGGAAGACAUGUGUUUCCCAGCUCAGGAGUCAGAAACCUCUGAGAAGAACCCUGAAGACAAACUAUGCCUGAAGCAAAAACAGCACUUCCUACUGAAAAUCAAGACACGAAGCAAACUUGAAGUACACCCUGUCUCAGAAAAGAUUUGACAAAACAUGACUCCCAGCUGCUCAGCAGCUCAAAACAACAGGACCAUUUUGUACUGUGGGCGGGAAGACUGCAGCAGGUCCUGUUAUCCUUGCCCUCUCUUGUCUGAGGGCACCUUGUACCAUCACCCUUGUUGAUAAAAAAUAAGGGAGUGGUAUAUCCUUUUUUUUUCCCAAAACACACUGUGUCAACUCCUGGUCCAGAGCAUUUCACAGUGUUCCUCACUGCCCUGAGUUCAAGCAGAUAAACAUGUGGCUGUGCUGUACAGGGCCUGCAGACCCUGCCUUCACACUACCUCAGUGAGAUGCCUGUUUGCUACUGCUACUGCAUUUAUGCAGAAAAUGCAGGAGCACUCAGCAACUGGUCCUAGGUGUGUCUCAGAUAGACACAAAUACCUUGUAGUCAUUUGCAUAAAGUCUCACAUACCGUGAGACAAUCAGUACAGGAGGGAACACAACCCCGGAAGAGCUGAACAAACCCAGUGCUCAGAAGCCAAAUUGUGGCUUGAAAGAAGAUGCAUUGGAGGUGGGGUUUGACAGGAAGCUACUCUUUUGUCUCACUGAUGGACUUAAGGUUUCUCUCAGAUCCAGUUGUGACUCUGAGGAAUUUAGCACACAAUACAGAGAAUAAGGAGUUUGUUGUCUCUAUCGUUUUUUGGACCAAUGUAGCUCCUGAGCUGUGUGCAGCAUGUAUUCAGAAUGUUUUCCACCUUUGUAUAGUCCUCCUAUUAUCAUCUGGCAAAAUUAACCAUUCUACUCUCAUACUAAGAAUGCUACUUCUGUAUUAUACAUUAUCUUAUAUAUUGUUAAUAAUCAUAUAUAAUCUUGCUUUCUUUUUUGAUACUAAUGUUUUCCAUUAAAUGCUCUUGUGUCAUUUAAAAAAUCCAUAGCUGUAUUAUCUACAAAUUGCCUCCUGUAUUAUGGCACUGUAAGAAACUGGGUGUUGGAAAUAAAAUGUUAAGCCACCCAAAGCCACUGCAGUUAAUCAUAUUUAACACUUGACUGAACUGGGCUCACCCAGAGCUUUUGGUAGAGUCCUGCUCAAGUCAUUCUGUACUAUUAUGUGACAGCCCAUUAAUAACUGCAGUUUCUAUUAAAGUUGGAUAUAAUUCUAAGAAGCCAAAGCUCUUUGUAUCUAGUUUCUUUGGUACAACAAGGCCUCUCAGAAGGGCUUAUCAUUUAUUUUUCUAUGACCUUCAGAUUGACUACUGAUCCUUAAUCUAUUUGCUUUUGAUUGGUACAUCAUCAUGAUAAGCUUAUGAGAGGACACUGCAGAGAGUAUGCUCUGCCGGUCAACCUCCAUAGUGAUGCCAUAGUUCUAACUGUCUUUUUAUUUACUG